rnacentral:lncRNA from 1 species
ACCGAGCGAAGCCUGCACCGUCUCGGCCGCGGAGAAGGCGAGCAGCGAGCCCUCUUUGGCCAGGAAGCCUUUGCCGUCCUCCGCGUCAGCCUGCAGCGCCUCCGCCUUGUCGAAGUUACCGCCGCCGGGCAGCGGCUGCGGCGCGAACUUGCGGGCCGCUGCCGCCUCCUGGUGCUGGGGCGACGCGGAGAAGCCGCCGGGGAGCGUGGCCAUGAGCGUAGAGGAAUUCCUGGACAGACUCACCGACAGGACACUGAAGGCAGGGCAAGGCGACCCAUGGACCUCAUUCUACGGGGUGGCACAGUAACCGGUUCUCACCCAGUCCUCCUAGCUACCUGGCACGGUAGAUGGCAUCCUCCCUCCUUUUUGGUGAGGAGUUCAUCUUUGAGGUUUAAGCAGUGGUCUAAAGGGCAGGGCCCGGCAGAGGAUGGUGGCCUUGCAGUCAGUGUGUCCUGUUUGGGAUAUGAACUCCAGCCCCCACUAUCCAGUGGUGAAUACAAGGACUCCACAACCACCAAAAGAUGAUGCUGACUGAGCAAUGCAACAACAACAACAACAACAACAAACAGCUGCUAAAAAUAAGGCUGCAUUCAAGACUCAAACGUCACCUUUUGUGUGUGAGUGGGGAAAGGGACAUUGCUUCUGAACAUUUUGUUAGUAAUGUUAAACAUCUCAUAUGGUUUGGUUGUGUCCCCACCCAAAUCUCACCUUGAGUUUUACUCCCAUAAUUCCCAUGUGUUGUGGGAGGGACCCGGUGGGAGAUAAUUGAAUCAUGGGGGUGGUUUCCUUCAUACUGUUCUCUUGGUAGUGAAUAAGUCUCAUGAGAUCUGAUGGUUUGAUAAGGGGAAACCCCUUUUGCUUGGUUCUCAUUCUCUCUCUUGCUGCUGCCUUUCACCUUCCACCUCCCCAGCCACAUGGAACAGUAAGUCCAAUAAACCUCUUUCUUUUGUAAAUUGCCCAGUCUCAGGUAUGUCUUUAUCAGAAGCGUGAAAACGGACUAAUACAGCAUCUGUCUCCUUAAGUCACCGGAGUCCUUGGGCAAUCCUGAGCUCCCUCUCCUGUUCUCCUUAUGUGACUGCUCCUGGAAUCCCUUCUGACAGACAGAAGGGGUUGAGCACUACACAGUGUGUUCAGUGGGGGUAAUGGGUGUUAUGAGCUCGUCUUGUUGAAUUACUGUUACUGCUGCUUUUCCUCCUCAGAGAUGACACGGAGGCAGAUGGGCUAGAGACAUGUCCCAGGGGAAGGGUGGCUGCAGCUGAAGGCUGGGUCCCAGGGUGGGUGCUGGGCAUGUGCCAGCCUAUGGGGGCAAGGUUGCAGGGGAGCCUUGGGAGGAAAACAGAGCCGUGUUUUCUAACGAAGCUGCUGCAGGAAGGUUUCCUCCUGUGGCUCUAUGCCCCAGCUGACUCCGAUGAAGGACGGGGAAGCCACAGCUCCACGACUUUGAUGGAGGAGCGGUUCCACUUUAUUUCCCUGGACCUUCUGCUGAGGCUUUCCUUUGGGGAUCUUCCAUCUACCCCUUU